CCUACGGGAGGCAGCAGUGGGGAAUUUUGGACAAUGGGGGCAACCCUGAUCCAGCAAUGCCGCGUGAGUGAAGAAGGCCUUCGGGUUGUAAAGCUCUUUUGUCAGGGAAGAAACGGUGAUCUCUAAUACAGAUUACUAAUGACGGUACCUGAAGAAUAAGCACCGGCUAACUACGUGCCAGCAGCCGCGGUAAUACGUAGGGUGCAAGCGUUAAUCGGAAUUACUGGGCGUAAAGCGUGCGCAGGCGGUUAUAUAAGUCAGAUGUGAAAUCCCCGGGCUCAACCUGGGAACUGCAUUUGAGACUGUAUGGCUAGAGUGUGUCAGAGGGGGGUAGAAUUCCACGUGUAGCAGUGAAAUGCGUAGAUAUGUGGAGGAAUACCGAUGGCGAAGGCAGCCCCCUGGGAUAACACUGACGCUCAUGCACGAAAGCGUGGGGAGCAAACAGGAUUAGAUACCCUGGUAGUCCACGCCCUAAACGAUGUCUACUAGUUGUCGGGUCUUAAUUGACUUGGUAACGCAGCUAACGCGUGAAGUAGACCGCCUGGGGGAGGUACGGUCGCGAGAGUUAAACGUUAAAGUAAGUAAGUUAGUACGGCGUGAGACGUAGACCGACGGACGACGACGAGGGGAGGAGGG
rnacentral:rRNA from 1 species